rnacentral:rRNA from 1 species
GACGAACGCUGGCGGCGUGCUUAACACAUGCAAGUCGAGCGGUAAGGCCCUUUCGGGGGUACACGAGCGGCGAACGGGUGAGUAACACGUGGGUGACCUGCCCUUAGCUCUGGGAUAAGCCUGGGAAACUGGGUCUAAUACCGGAUAUGACUCCAUGACGCAUGUUGUGGGGUGGAAAGCCUUGUGCGGCUAGGGAUGGGCCCGCGGCCUAUCAGCUUGUUGGUGGGGUGAUGGCCUACCAAGGCGACGACGGGUAGCCGGCCUGAGAGGGCGACCGGCCACACUGGGACUGAGACACGGCCCAGACUCCUACGGGAGGCAGCAGUGGGGAAUCUUGCGCAAUGGGCGAAAGCCUGACGCAGCGACGCCGCGUGAGGGAUGAAGGUCUUCGGAUUGUAAACCCCUGUCGACUGGGACGAAUGUAGAGCGGCCUAAUACGCCGAGCUAUUGACUGUACCGGUGGAGGAAGCCACGGCUAACUCUGUGCCA